CUCCUGCCAUGGAAGAAGCCUGCUCCCACCAUGCCUUCCGCCACGAGUAAAAGUUCCCUGAGGCCUCCCCAGAAGCAGAUGCUGUCGUGCUUCCUGUAUAGCUGCAGAACUCCUAUAGAUGGGGUCGCACACCAUUCUACAAAGAGGGGAGUCUCUCCGUGAAAUGACUUGAACUUAUAAAGCGCAUUCUGCUAUGUGGUUGCCUCACCAACUCCCUUCCUGCCUGGACUAUUACAGUAACCUGUGGAUUGGUCUCCUUGCCUUGAGACGAUGACAUUUCUGGCGCCUAAACCCAUCAGCAUCAAGCUGUUCUUUUGAAAACAUAAAUAUGACCAUGUUACAUGUUUUUAAACCUUUCAAUGAAAUACUU
rnacentral:lncRNA from 1 species